AUUGAACGCUGGCGGCGUGCCUAACACAUGCAAGUCGAGCGGUAACAGGUGUAGCAAUACAUGCUGACGAGCGGCGAACGGGUGAGUAAUGCUUUGGAAUCUUCCCAGUAGUGGGGAAUAACCAGUCGAAAGAUUGGCUAAUACCGCAUACGUCUGUAAAGGGAAAGCGGGGGAUCGCAAGACCUCGCGCUAUUGGAUGAGCCAAAGUCGGAUUAGCUAGUUGGGGGGUAAUGGCCUACCAAGGCGACAAUCCGUAGCUGGUCUGAGAGGACGACCAGCCACACCGGAACUGAGACACGGUCCGGACUCCUACGGGAGGCAGCAGUGGGGAAUAUUGGACAAUGGGGGAAACCCUGAUCCAGCGACGCCGCGUGUGUGAAGAAGGCC
rnacentral:rRNA from 1 species